UACGAAGGGGGCUAGCGUUGCUCGGAAUCACUGGGCGUAAAGCGCACGUAGGCGGCUUACUAAGUCAGGGGUGAAAUCCUGGAGCUCAACUCCAGAACUGCCUUUGAUACUGGUGAGCUUGAGUCCGGAAGAGGUGAGUGGAACUCCGAGUGUAGAGGUGAAAUUCGUAGAUAUUCGGAAGAACACCAGUGGCGAAGGCGGCUCACUGGUCCGGUACUGACGCUGAGGUGCGAAAGCGUGGGGAGCAAACAGG
rnacentral:rRNA from 1 species